UAGUUUCAUGGGGCUAUGCAACGGCAGGUAGCCCAUCAUCCAACCCUGGUGACAGCAGGGUUUGAUCCCAAGUCUCUGCUACAACUAGCCAGAGAAAUUAUCAACUGAGCCAUCACCAGCCUCAAAUAGCAGUUGUUGAUCAACCCAAAACAUUUCAGUUAGAAACAGAAAUGAUAUGAUCUCUUGCACAAUGCACAUCUUAAUCUGGAAGGACUUGACGAGCUAUUUAAAGUGGCUCAGUUACUUGCAGAUGGUGUUAUCCCAAAUGAGUAUGGGAUAGAUCCAAAGCAAAAGAUCAAAAUUGGUUCAAAGGUAAGCAAUCAGUUGUUAUUCUACCAUCCAUUUUACCUUCUUAAUAGACCUGUUCACGGGCCAGGCUUUGCCUUUACAUUAACAGAAUAUGCUCAGGCCUGUGCCCAAGUCUGGCCUGACCAUCGGGCCUAGGUCU